AAAGUCAAGAUGAAUUUUAUAUUAUUCAUCACCCAACAAGUAUUUAUUGAGGUCCCUGGCAAGAGCUCAAAAUCGUACUGUAAAAUUCCCCUGGAAAAGAAGGGAGACAGCGGGAUAUAUACUGCAGAAGGGAUUUAUGGCUGGAUUCAAGGCGAUUAUUCCGGGAAAACAUCCUCAGGUUUCAGCCAUUCACUUUCCUGGAAUUCUAACGGAGGUACCAAGCUGGAAGAGCCCAAAAGACACACACCAAGCUGCCCAGAGAGCUCUCCUCUAAAACGCACACUGCAGCUCUAUAAGCAGACCGGUCCACUCAACGAGUGACGCUGUGGUGGGACUCCCUUUCAUUUGGUGUCAAAGCCAUGAAAAAUCUCCUCAUGCGCUGGGUUUCCACCCAGCCCCAGUGAGGAGACACCCCGAUGCGUGGGAUAGUCAAAGAGUGCAGGACUGCAGCCAGGAGACCUGAUCUCCGUCUGGGCCGCCCCAUUGAAUUGCUGCACAACUCCAGGCAGGUGACUGAGCCUCCCUGGACCCCGUCUCCCCAUCUCUCAAGUGACGGGGGCUGGACUCAAUGACUCCUAUGAUGGUUAAUUUUAUGCAUCAACCUGGCUGGACCACAGUGCCCAGGUGGAGAGAGAAAGACAUCCCUCCACUAACAUUUAUGCAGCAGCUACAAGUCCCAGAAGACACAGUGCGAGGCCUUGAGACGCAGGGAUGAAUAACUCCAAGGCCUUCUGAUGAGGAUGAGGGACAAGAAUGUAAAUGGCCAACUAAUAAAAACUGACGUAAAGGGCAAUUCCUCGAGACAAGGCAGCGAGAGGCGCCAAAUCACAGGCGUGAGCUCUUC
rnacentral:lncRNA from 1 species